CUCUUCUUGUUAUUAUUUGAAGUAUGGCCUGCCCGCUGACUUGGUUGAAGGGCCGCGGUAUUUUGACCGUGCAAAGGUAGCAUAAUCAUUAGCUCUUUAAUUGUGAGCUGGUAUGAAUGGUUUGACGAAGCAUUAACUGUCUUUGAUUUGGAUUGUAUUGAAUUUAUUGUUUUGGUAAAAAUGCCUGAAUUUUUUUGUGGGACGAGAAGACCCUAUAGAGUUUUAUAUAGUGAGUUUUUAUUAGUUUGUUAUAGUUUUUUGGGCUUAUUGUAUUUUGUUGGGGUGAUGGGAAGUUAAGUGUAACUCUUCUUUUUUACUUUCAUUGAUUUGUGUUUUUAUGAUCUUUUAUUAUUAAUUAUAAGACUAAAUUACCUUAG
rnacentral:rRNA from 1 species